AGGUGGGUUGGUUUCAAAAACUUAUUGUUUUUGACUAGGGACCAGGAGUUUGUGGUGAUUUACUAUACUUUAGAUGUGUCAAACUCAGUAAAAACACUCACCCAUGCAUACAGUUGACAUGAUUUGGAUUGGUGCAUAUUGUAUGUUUGUUAUUGAAAUGUUAGUCUAAAAUGGUGAAUCUGGGAAUUAAUUUUUUUUUUGCUAUACCCUGUACAAUUCAGAGAGAUUAUAAUGUGAAAUGCCACCUACUUGAGGUCAAAAUGAUGCGCUCCACCUUUAACCAUGAAGGCCACUACUGAAGGUGAAACAGAUUUCAAAACCUGAAAUGUUAUAGACAAGAUGUUUAAGUAAGAUUAUAAGAACAAAAGGAAAAAAAGCGUAAUAUGCUGGGAAGAAAGAGAAAGUUGUAUCAGGAUUUUGAGCAAGAAGCUCUUUAUAUUGAAACAGAAAUUUUUAAAAACAAAAACAAAAUUAGAAAAUUAACACAUUUAAGCAUUUGUAGAAAGUUUGAUGCUGCAGAGACAACCACAAGGUGGCUUUGGAUCCAUAGACUGUAGCUACUAGGAUGCAAGUUGGUGUCUGAUUAACCCUGGCGAGUUCACCUGGGUGAGGUUGUUUUAUGUUGGAAGACCUGAAGACCACAGGUUUCUAAAGACGUCUCAUUCUGAAAAUGUAUCUGGCAUAAAGACGAUUAAACAUUUUUUCCCCCCUUUUAUUAUUGCUUCACCUGAUAUGCAAUUGUCAGAGCUCUUACUAGUGAGGACAGCAUUACUUGUGAUAGGAUAUGAACUUACGAACUGGUCAACCAAAACAGAGUAGCAUUUUCCUUAAACUGAAUUUUGGUCACGAAGUCAGGAAGAGUUACCUCCCUUACCAGGAAUUGUUUUAGGAUAGGUUUUUUUUCUCCCACUACGAACUUAUAAUAAAUAUCUAUCUUAACUUUUUCCCAGGCAAUAUCAAAUGGAUUGGAUGUGAUCAAAUUUCAGAUUCCAAGGAUAAGAUCUACACAAAUCACAUCUGUCUACGAUAUAAGCAGCAGUUAUUUAAAGAAACCAAUAACACUUCUAAUCUUAAAGAUGAGACGCCGAAAGUCUAGAAAUGCUGCAGAUGGAUUUAAGAACAUCACUGUCCCCAACAACCUACUAGGAACCCAUAGAAAAAGAUGAAAAAAAUCCCAAUAGAAAACUUAAAACUAGAACAUAGAUAUGCUUUGAAUACAUGUCAGAAAAUAUCGCAGUUAAACACACAAAAUGGCGGUGGUUUAGCGAAAUGACCAGAGUCAAGAAGAUUUACCUCCCUUGCCUAGAUAUGGCGCUCAGGUUAGAUUUACGAAUUUUCAUAAAUUUUUCGGUAAACACAGCAUCCUAACGUCUUCUUUUGUUGGCUGUCAUUCGUGAACGAGUACAACUUGCUAGCAGAAACUUUGCUUCCCAAGGGUCUGGACCUAUAAAAUUUGCUUCAAUGAAUUCCAGCUGAGCCAUACACAGAAAAGCAGAUAAUAAAAUAAUGAUGAGAUCAUAUUAAUAUAUGCUAAGUGGGAUUAAAGCUACGUGGUCAAGCUUCCAUCUGAAUCUUCACUUCACAGUUCCCGUUAUGCUGGGUGGGAUAUGUGACUUGUAUAAGAGAACACUAGGGUCCCCAAGACUGCUCUAUAGUGUUCUUAGCCACACAUGCUUGCCUUAUUGCUCCUUGGAGCUUACAAUAAAGGACAAUUUUCCCCAAGGUGCCACAUAGUGGGAUUGAACUCAAAAACCACGUUUGUGAAGUGAACUUCUUAAGCAGCCAGCCAUGGUUCCAGCAGACAGUAGAAUGGAUAUCAUCAUCAUUGUUUUAAUGUCCCCUUUUCCAUGCUAGUAUUGGUCACAGAAAACUUGUUGAGGCAGACUUUCUACAGCCAGGUACCCUUCCUGUCAGUAAACCCAAUAAUUUAAGCCUUUCCCAUCUAAUAUUAAACAGGCUGAAUGUGAAUGAAUUCCAAAUACCUGUGAUAAAAUCCAAAUAAACCACAUUUACCUACCAUAAAAAAGGCAGCUAUUUAUACAGAAAUAAUACUUUAAAUCCUGAAGAUGAAACUGAAGGUCCAGAAGUGUUGAUGGAUUUAGGGACUUGACUGUUGCAAAGAACUCACAAUUACAACAUAAACAUGGCUUUAAUAUUUGUUUGAAGAAAAAGCAAUUCUACACACAACAUAUAUAUAGGUGCGUGCAUGUGUGUCAUCAUUAUUGUUGUCCCUUUUUCCAUGCUGACAAGCCAGAAGGAUACACCAAGAUCCAGUGUGUGUGUGUAACUUUUCUGCAAAUGUCCCUCAACCAUUUGUUAUAUAACAAUCCUUUUAAGAUUUUUAAACCAUAACACAAGGAAACAUGUACUUACCCCACCACGGUGCCAAGGAUCCAGAUCACCAUUUGAGAAAACGAUAUUACUGGUUGUUUUCAAGUCUGAAAUAAUAUAGUGAUAAUACUUGUCAUAAAAUAAACAUUUUUACAUUCUAAUGGGAUUUCUUUUUCUUCAUUAGCCAUAUUGAUUAAAUUUGUAUCAAUUUUAUCCUAUAAAAAUGAGUUUGGAUCAGACCUAUAUCAGACAAUGCCAGCUGUAUGAAUGAAUUCUGAAGGGGUUCUUCAGCAACAGAAACAAGAAAUAUUGAUUCUGUCAAUGAAAGCAAAGCUUUAUAUUGCUUCAAAACUUGAAGAAUCUUAUACCUGAGGGAUCAACAAUUUGCCAAGAAGGUUGGAUUAUGUUUUCAAUAACAAAGAUUUAUUAUCUUGAUUAAAAUAUCUGUUAAAACCAAA